rnacentral:rRNA from 1 species
GAUGGACGCUGGCGGCGUGCCUAAUACAUGCAAGUCGAGCGAACGGACGAGAAGCUUGCUUUUCUGAUGUUAGCGGCGGACGGGUGAGUAACACGUGGAUAACCUACCUAUAAGACUGGGAUAACUUCGGGAAACCGGAGCUAAUACCGGAUAAUAUUUUGAACCGCAUGGUUCAAAAGUGAAAGACGGUCUUGCUGUCACUUAUAGAUGGAUCCGCGCUGCAUUAGCUAGUUGGUAAGGUAACGGCUUACCAAGGCAACGAUGCAUAGCCGACCUGAGAGGGUGAUCGGCCACACUGGAACUGAGACACGGUCCAGACUCCUACGGGAGGCAGCAGUAGGGAAUCUUCCGCAACGGGCGAAAGCCUGACGGAGCAACGCCGCGUGAGUGAUGAAGGUCUUCGGAUCGUAAAACUCUGUUAUUAGGGAAGAACAUAUGUGUAAGUAACUGUGCACAUCUUGACGGUACCUAAUCAGAAAGCCACGGCUAACUACGUG